AGUUCAACCCGGCACGCCAAAGAAUCUGUCACGAAUAGCUGCCUGUUUUUUAUGGUUCGGAUCUAAGACCGAACCCUGAUGCCAUUGCUGGUGGAACAAACCGGCGAAUCACACGCCACCGGAGGAGCGGGAGGAGACUCUCAGAGAUCUCUCCCAACUCCAUUUCUCACCAAAACUUAUCAGCUUGUCGAUGAUCCUUCCGUCGAUGACCUGAUUUCGUGGAACGAGGACGGAUCGACCUUCAUCGUCUGGCGCCCCGCUGAAUUCGCAAGGGACUUACUCCCCAAGUACUUCAAACACAACAACUUCUCUAGCUUUGUUCGCCAGCUCAACACCUACGGAUUUAGAAAGGUAGUGCCGGAUCGAUGGGAAUUUGCGAACGAUUGCUUCAAGAAAGGAGAGAAAGGAUUACUUCGCGAUAUUCAGCGGCGGAAAAUCUCUCCGACAGGGGUUACGGCAGCAGCUGCAGCUACGGUAACCGUUGCCGCAAUUCCGCCGGUGGCACGUGUGGUUUCCCCUGCGAAUUCGGCCGACGAGCAAGUAA
rnacentral:misc_RNA from 1 species